GAUGAAGAACGUAGCGAAAUGAGAUACUUGGUGUGAAUUGCAGAAUCCCGUGAACCAUCGAGUCUUUGAACGCAAGUUGCGCCCGAAGCCACUAGGCCGAGGGCACGCCUGCCUGGGCGUCACACGCCGUUGCCCCCCCAUCUACUCCUUCGGGAUUGCGGGGGGGCGGAUGAUGGCCUCCCGUGCGCCUAGCCGCGCGGUUGGCAUAAAUACCAAGUCCUCGGCGACGCACGCCACGACAAUCGGUGGUUGCGAAACCUCGGUUGCCCGUCGUGUGCGUUCGUCGCGCAUCGAGGGCUCGAAAAAAUGCUCGGCUCCGGCUGGGCUUUCAACGCGACCCCAGGUCAGGAGGGGUUACCCGCUGAAUUUAAGCAUAUCAAUAAGCGGAGGA
rnacentral:misc_RNA from 1 species